AGAUCCAGUUGCAGAUGACAGCUGAGCGCGAACACAGACAGACCUCAACAGCUCCUGAUCCACCACUGAAGCUACACUUUACCAGUUCCACAGAGCGUCACACCUGACAGAAAUGGUGUGAUUGAUUAUCAAUGCCUGCAGGUAUGUGGUACAGAAGAUCCGGGCUGCAGUGAGAGGGGAGGCACAGCCGGAGAAAACAAGCACCACAUGUCGCCAGGCUAAAGGACAAAUGGAUAGCAGGAUGAGCGCUGAUGGGUCGGCCUUGAUUCCCCAGCCGACGCAGACAGUCAACGUCCUGCGGAAGGAAGAGUGUGGAUCCUGAAAGUAAACCGAGAGCUAGAGGGUAGUGUGGAAGGCUUAUAAUAAGGAAACAAACACAUAAAAACACACACACACACACACACACACACACAUUCAGAGACAAAUACACAUUGUGGUCCAUCCUCCUUUUCCGUGGUUCUUUUUAAAUAUGAUGAAUACACCAGCAAUUCUGCACUGCCUUUUUUCAUUCUUGAUUUGUUUUUCAAAUAUCAUCUCUGCCUUGAGAUACAUAGAUUUAUUCAGUGACACAUUUGUCUGUCCCUGUUCCCUCCGCAACCUCGCCAUGCACACACUGCUAUUCAUUAAACCCAGGUAUUUAAAUCCUCAAAUGCAUUGCACUCCCACCUUCCAGCUCUCGGUUUUCUUUCCUGCUCGUCCUUCAUACAGCGGAGAGAGCAGUCUGAGUUGGCAGAGAGAAUGAAAGCUUGAUCGCCAAUUCCCCAGCAGAGGAACUGAUCAGACUGGAUGAAUGUAAAAGCCUCUGCUGAUAAAGCUGCACCAAGUCAUAUAUAUUCACAUAUUCAAAGACCUGAUCUUUAUCUCCAUCACUGUAAACCUUUCAGUAAAAAGAGCAUUGUUUAUGUGUU